rnacentral:tRNA from 2 species
UGCGGGAUCGUCUAAUGGUAGGACAUUAGCCUUUGAAGCUGAGUAUCUAGGUUCGAAUCCUAGUCCCGCAG